rnacentral:lncRNA from 1 species
GGGGACUGUAAGAACUUGGGAAUAGCUUCUGGAGUAUACGCUACUCUCUGUAGAAGAUUGACUGUCAUGGGAAAAUGAAUGGAGGAAUAUUGGGCUGAGAGGUUCCUUGACGAUAUGGAGAGCCUAGCACAGUGCCUGGCCCAAAAAGGCACUCAAAUAUGUAAUUAUCUAAUAAAAGUUGAAAUGAUGAAUUGCUAAAUAACUGAAAAAUGAGUCAGAGAAGACUUCUUGUAUUUGAAAGCAUUUAAUUCCUCAUUUAAUUCCUCUCUUCACAAGAGAGGACACAGAAGAUUAACCAGAAAAGGAAAAAGCAUGCAGUCCAGAAGAAUGUAUGAACAUUCAUGUUGUAAGCAAUGGGGAGAGAAAAUUGGGGUGAGACCCAGGCAUAGGCAACUGGAAUGUGUGCCCCAGAGAGAAGGCAGCUUGUGAAGGGGGAGCUUCUUGCUGAGGAAGUGCACUGAGGGAAUACAGACAGCAUCAUCAGAGAUGGGGACUUGCUAUACUGCCCAGGCUGGAUAUGAA